rnacentral:rRNA from 1 species
UGGAAAGUGCCGCCGUAGUGGGUGAUAGCCCCGUACACGAAAUUCUCUUAUCAAUGAAAUCGAGUAGGACGGAGCACGAGAAACUUUGUCUGAAUAUGGGGGGACCAUCCUCCAAGGCUAAAUACUACUGACUGACCGAUAGUGAACUAGUACCGUGAGGGAAAGGCGAAAAGAACCCCGGAGAGGGGAGUGAAAUAGAUCCUGAAACCGUAUGCGUACAAGCAGUGGGAGCCCACUUUGUUGGGUGACUGCGUACCUUUUGUAUAAUGGGUCAGCGACUUACGUU